GGACCAGCUCAGUUACGGGUAGC
rnacentral:siRNA from 1 species